rnacentral:tRNA from 1 species
UGUAGCUCAGUUGGUUAGAGCGCACCCCUGAUAAGGGUGAGGUCGGCAGUUCAAAUCUGCCCA